AGCAGCCGCGGUAAUUCCAGCUCCAAUAGCGUAUAUUAAAGUUGUUGCAGUUAAAAAGCUCGUAGUUGAAUUUCGGGGUCAGUAGGUCGGUCGUGCCAACGGUAUGAACUGGUCUCACUGAUUCCUCCCUCUUGUAGAACCGUGAUGCCAUUAACUUGGUGUUGCGGGGAAACAGGACUGUUACUUUGAAAAAAUUAGAGUGUUUAAAGCAAGCUAACGCUUGAAUACAUUAGCAUGGAAUAAUGAAAUAGGACGUCGAUCUUAUUUUGUUGGUUUCUAGGGUUGACGUAAUGAUUAAUAGGGAUAGUUGGGGGCAUUAGUAUUCAAUUGUCAGAGGUGAAAUUCUUGGAUUUAUUGAAGACUAACUACUGCGAAAGCAUUUGCCAAGGAUGUUUUCAUUAAUCAAGAACGAAAGUUAGGGGAUCGAAGACGAUCAGAUACCGUCGUAGUCUUAACCAUAAACUAUGCCGACUAGGGAUCGGAUGAUGUUAAUUUUUUAAUGACUCAUUCGGCGCCUUACG
rnacentral:rRNA from 1 species